ACACGAACAACAAGGUAAAAGUAGGAGCCAACGCGAAGAGAGAGAAGGACGAAACGAACCGUGUUGAACGACGUCAACAGCCGAAUGACGUGCGGCGUAUAUACCUCCCUCCCAAAGGCGUCUGGUUUAUGUUUCGUGCCGGAAUGCGGCCGUAAAAAAAAAAAACGAAGACGACGCGCAUACACACACAACACACACACACACUACCAACCUAGUUUUUAAGGUUGCUAGUUAACCCAAAAUAACUCCAUUAUGUUCCAAUCAAAGCCUAUUGUUGUGUUUCAUGGCAUAGAAUGGUUCUGAUUCAAAUGCUCAAUUACAAUAAAUUUUUUGAUAACUUGACCGUCCAACUGUUAAAACCCAAUUACAGGUGUAAAUUUAAACCCUAAACUUGAACCACACAACAGAGAAACAUUUUCCAUCUUCAACGAAAACCAGUUAGUAGGGAAACAUCUCAGACGAGAGUUGAACACUAUCUACUUACUCAAUUCAAAAGCACAGCAUUAUUGUACGCAAUGCAGUUAACUUCCUCAAAUGAAUCACAUAAGGUCACAAAGGUAAUGACAAAACACAUGCACGCACUGGCCACGUACCAAGUCCACGUUUUUAUCGACCGACUAAUGCCGAGGAUCAAUAAAUUUCACACAUGAAAACAAAAGACUUUGCCUAUGGAGGAGGUAAGAUAACCAAAUGUCAUUCGGCCGUUGAAAACACCAAGCCACCCCUUUCACCUGUUAACCAUUCAAAGAGCACAGCAAAAAUGCACAUAAACUCACCUUUAAAAUGAUAACACCAAACAGGAAUCCAAAAGCACCACCAAAUGAGCACUUAGAACUUAAACAUCGAAGAAACUAAAGGAAAUGAAA